AAAUGGGGACCAUUGGAUUUCUACCAAAUGGUAAAAUCCUGUGGAAAGAGAGGAAGGGGAAAAAGUGACCUGACAUAAUGCGAUGACUGAGGGAUGCGACUGAUGGAUGGUUGACAUGACAACGGUGAUGCUUUAGCAAUACAAAAAAUGAAAACACACUGGAUGAGGGAUGGACACGCCCCCUAAACAACAGUAGCGCGCUGUUCAAAUGGUGGUGUAAACCCCCCAAGGGGCAGCGCCCACCGCUUAAGGGGCGGCGCCAAUUGCUUGAAGACAGUGCGCAUAGGCACACGCAUAGACAUAACACAGGCACGCACAUAGGCACACGUACAGGGCAUGUAGAGUCGUGCACAGAUUACACGCUUCACACCCCACGCGGAUGCAUGGGCUACCUUCAGAACAUCUGUCCUGACUGCAGGAGGUACACAUACAAUCUCAAAAUCACCACAGACCAUCAUUAGUGAUCCUGAAAUCAAAAUAAUUUUCAGAAGUAAACUUACAAAGGUCCUGUGAAAUCUUAGGAUCGGUGGACUGAGCUUCCUAGAUCUUCAUAAAGAGGUUAGGUAGGGACUAAAUUUGAGUGAGGUAAACACCAUUGCCAUAAUGAUUCAAAUGGAGUGAUUGCAUUGCAUCAACUAAUUUCCAAUUGAAAGUCAUUAUCUGGGCCAACAUAGCAGAUUCCUUCUGACUUAAUGCAUCUGCUACCACAUUACCCUUACCGGAGUGG
rnacentral:lncRNA from 1 species